rnacentral:sRNA from 1 species
AUUUUGAAGGUCUUCCUCCAUCACCAUGAACUAGUGAUUUUAAAUAAGAAUUAGUUUCCCCCAGAAUUGCUCUUCAGCAAACCACAGUUCUCACUCCAUGGCAAAACAGCCAUGUGAGCUGAAAGAAAAGAGUAAGAGAAAUGUUUGCAUGCCUCUCCGUCAGUCCAGGGUCCCAGUAGGAUGGCGAAUUGCCGGAGUAUACAUACACUCAGGAUUACUACACACCAAACUCUGUACAAAAGGGCAAACCAAGAUCAAAAGCUGGAUUGGAGAAAAAACAAACCCAGAAUGAUAUCAAAACAAACCAAAGAAUGACACACUAAGAAGUAAGCACACUAUUUUUUCGGUGCAAGUAUCAAGAAAGGUAAGGUGGUAACCCUUCGAGAAGAGGGGGAAGAAAAGGACACUGUUAGAUGUGUUGAUGAUCCUCAGAAUGUACCAUAACAUUCUGGAGGAGUGUAUGGCUUUCAAAAUUUUAGGCAGAACAAAAUUGCAAUCUUUCUCAAACCAGGCAGAGAAGAACUAGCAGGCCCGAUUGCCAUGGGUAGGGAGAAAGGGUUCAGAAAAGGAAAGGAACUUCAAAAUGAUUUGUAUUUUAGAUUUCAGAUAAGUUAGAGAUUCAGAUUAGGAGCACUCUUUUGCAGAGAGGCGGUUGUGACGGUUUAACACUUGGGUUGAGCGAUGGAGAUUCCAUUCCAAGCGUUUUCAUAAGGAAGUUCCUUUCCUGAAAAAGGGAUAAAACAUAAUGUCAAAGAAAGAACAUGGUUACUGCAAAUGAUUUUGCAUAAACAAUUUUAACUAUCAGUUCACAACUCCAUCGUUCAGCAAGAACAGACAAAGCAGCAACUUAGAUAAUGUAUGGUUGUUGCAGCAAGAACAGUAGAUGUCUGUUUUAUAUUAUACAUACAUAUCAGAUGAUAAACAAUUAUUUCUUGCUGUGUAAGAGGUUUCUUGCUU